GGCUCGCCUCCUGGAGUAGGUCCACAGAGCCCAGCGUGCGGGCGGCCGAGGGGGGAAAGCCGGGGCUGUUGCCCUACCCCGCUGUUAGCGUUACGUUCCUGCUCGGUGCUAUGUUUUAUUCGUUCUUUCUAUUAAACCUCUUAAAUUCCAGCUCAGGUCCCUCCCUCAUGAAGCCUUCCUGGAUUAUUUGAACCUUCAACAAUCUCCUUCUUUCAGCUCACUCAGCAGGUAACGUAGCCCCCUAUUUGGAGCCGUCUUCUCCCUUUGUCCAGCUGCCUCUAAGGAUGCGUCUGGACGGAUCUCCACAGCUGGACAAGGGACUUCAACUCACUGUCCGGGACUGAACAUCUCCCGUCUCCCACGGCACCGGGCACACGCUGGGCUCUUCCUGCUGACCUCAGGUAAACUCUCCCCUUUCGGGGCAGACUACAAAAUGCAUCUGGAACUCAAAGAAUGCACAUAAAUACUUUGAGAAAAACCCGUUUUUAGGUGUAUUCUCCAUUUCCAUAAUAAAUAUUUGGGGAAGUAUCUGAAAACCAAAAAACAUUUUUUUAAAAACUCAACUUUUCAAAGCAGCUUUAUUGUGAUACAAUAUACAUACCAUAGAAUUCACCCAUUAGAAGCAUAAAAUUCAGUGGGUUUUUUUGGUUUAUUCACAGAGUAGAGCAGCCGUCAGCACAGUUAAUUUUAGAACAUUUUUGGUCCACUCAAAAGGAAACUCAGUUCCUACCUCAGUACCUUCCCUCAUCUUGCUUUUUGGUUUUGAGCAGAGAUUUAAAACACGGAGCAGAGAAAGGUCAUUACAAGGGCAAACCCCUCACGAUCCAGUUCUGUUCGCACUGCCCGUGGUUCUGAUCACCCAUCUUACUGUCUGCGUUUCAGGGGAGCUGGGUUCAGAUGGCAGGAAAACGAACCUGGCUUUGCCACGCUCCAGUUCACCUGCCUCCUUGCACACCUGAGUUCAGGAGCCUCGUCCCUCCACCAGAGGGCGUGGCAGCAUGGAUGCCAGCCGCACCUGGGCUCUGCCAGGUGUUCCGACCGCAGCCCUUUGGAAGCAGGUUCUGUCCCGCGUCCCCUCGCUGACGGACCCCAGGGCCACGUGACAUGCCUGCCCACCGCAGACUCAGCAGACGGGCUGAAUGGAGGAAGGUCAUUCCCAUGGCGCGUCCCCGAGACCCGACUCCCCGGUGGAGACCCUGCCAGCAGCACGGCCCCCAGGUAAUGGCCUUGCGGGACUCCCGGGCCUCGAGGUGCCCAGCAAGAGCACUGGGGGGGCUGCUGCUCAG
ensembl:lncRNA